AAUCAAAUUUUUGAAAAGGAAAAAGAGAGAGAAGGUAAUAUAGAUGGAAAGAGAGGAAGUGAGAGAGGUUAAUGGAAUGAAUGGGUAAGGGCGGUAGUUUUAAGUUUGCUCUUUGUUCAAUGGGAGGCCCAAUGAGCCUUAAAACCAUAUGGGCUCGUAACUCUUGAACAAAAAGGUGAAAACUCUCACUGUAUUGGUGGAUAGGGGGACUCUAACUUGAAACAGCCCACUCCCUUCACCUUUUAAAGAUGUGAGGAAACCAACUAGGUUAGGCCUGAUUGGCAGCCAUGCACAAUUCUCCUAUCCUAGUGGAGGUUGAAUGAAUUUGACGGCUACGAAAAUCAUUUUAUGCCACGUGUUUUUCUGGAUGAACCGUAUAUGGUUGACAUCAACUAAGGACACAAGCAACUGCAAGUCCCAAUCCAAAGGCCACUGAUGACUCCGGUAUUGGCUAGGAUUUACAUGGGUUUUUUAUAAGUUGGAAGCUAGUAGGUAAACCAUAUAAAUGCACAUGCUAGAAUUUUCAUGGUCAUAAAGUAAGGAUCUGUGUUGAAGUGGAUGUAAGGUAUGGUUUUUAUAUUAAUUUAGAAGAUUGUACUACUUUAUUACCCCCACCCCCAGCACACCAGCUCUGGUCGGUUCAUUCAAACUGCUUACAUUUAUUUAUUUUUGCAGCAAAUACAUAUGAUUGAUGAAAAGGCCUAUGAGUUUUCCGAUCAGCAGAUGCAACUGGUGCUUGUUGGUUACAUCCGGGGACUGAAUGGCAUGGAAUUUGAAUCCAAGAAUGUGGAAAUACUUGAAGAGGACAAGUCUAUUGCAAGUUGUGGGUUGGAUCAGUCCAUAUUCAUCCACCAUUUUUCUUCUCUUUUCAAUAACAAUUGCUGCAUUUCUGGACUCUAAUGCUUCCCCACUAUAAUAA
rnacentral:misc_RNA from 1 species